AUUGAACGCUGGCGGCAGGCCUAACGCAUGCAAGUCGAGCGGAUGAAGGGAGCUUGCUCCUGGAUUCAGCGGCGGACGGGUGAGUAAUGCCUAGGAAUCUGCCUGGUAGUGGGGGAUAACGUCCGGAAACGGGCGCUAAUACCGCAUACGUCCUGAGGGAGAAAGUGUGGGAUCUUCGGACCUCACGCUAUCAGAUGAGCCUAGGUCGGAUUAGCUAGUUGGUGGGGUAAAGGCCUACCAAGGCGACGAUCCGUAACUGGUCUGAGAGGAUGAUCAGUCACACUGGAACUGAGACACGGUCCAGACUCCUACGGGAGGCAGCAGUGGGGAAUAUUGGACAAUGGGCGAAAGCCUGAUCCAGCCAUGCCGCGUGUGUGAAGAAGGUCUUCGGAUUGUAAAGCACUUUAAGUUGGGAGGAAGGGCAGUAAGUUAAUACCUUGCUGUUUUGACGUUACCAACAGAAUAAGCACCGGCUAACUUCGUG
rnacentral:rRNA from 1 species